GAUCUUCAGAGAGAGAGAGAGUCAAAGUGUGAGAGCUAUCCUGCUUACCCACUACCAGUCAGUAUAUAUAUAUAUAUAAUAAGACAGAGGAUGAUACGUUGCCAGUCGGCGAUAAGUUAGACGACAAAAAAGAAAAAAGACAAAAAAAAAGGAAGAAAAUAAUAAUUUUAAUCUUUUCCCCCACCACCACCUCCGUUUAAUUGUAACGACAGUGAUUGUAAUAUCAUGAUAGUUGUGACAUUUGGACUUGUUACGCUUUUCACAACUUGAUUUUGGAACUUAACAUUAACCAAAUCGAUGGAUCCUAACGGUAAGUGAUAAUUAUAGAGAUAGAGAGAGAGCGAG
rnacentral:lncRNA from 1 species